rnacentral:rRNA from 1 species
AUACGGAGGGUGCAAGCGUUAUCCGGAUUCAUAGGGUUUAAAGGGUGCGCAGGCGGACUUGUAAGUCAGUGGUGAAAUCCCGGGGCUCAACCUCGGAACUGCCAUUGAUACUGCAAGUCUUGAGUUUGGUUGAAGUGGGCGGAAUGUAGCAUGUAGCGGUGAAAUGCAUAGAUAUGCUACAGAACACCGAUCGCGAAGGCAGCUCACUAAACCAACACUGACGCUCAGGCACGAAAGCGUGGGGAGCGAACAGGAUUAGAUACCCCAGUAGUCC